AUUGAACGCUGGCGGCAGGCCUAACACAUGCAAGUCGAACGAGUGGCGGACGGGUGAGUAAUGUCUGGGAAACUGCCCGCUGGAGGGGGAUAACUACUGGAAACGGUAGCUAAUACCGCAUACCAUCGGAUGUGCCCAGAUGGGAUUAGCUAGUAGGUGGGGUAACGGCUCACCUAGGCGACGCUCCCUAGCUGGUCUGAGAGGAUGACACUCCACAAUGGAACUGAGACACGGUCCAGACUCCUACGGGAGGCAGCAGUGGGGAAUAGUGCACAAUGGGCGCAAGCCUGAUGCAGCCAUGCCGCGUGUAUGAAGAAGGCCUUCGUGUUGUAAACCGCUUUCAGCCAUGACGCGGUAGUGGCAGAAGAAGCACCGGCUAACUACGUGCCAGCAGCCGCGGUAAUUC
rnacentral:rRNA from 1 species